ensembl:lncRNA
UUUGCCAAAAUCAGAUUUUCCAGCCUGUGAAUGUGUCUGUGUGCCUGCAUGCAGAGCUCUGAGAACUACUCCAGUGGCAGUGCGUGUUCGGCUGGGUGAGCUCUGGAGCUGGCUAUGGGCCUGACAGGCCCUGAGCUUCUGGUGUUGGAUGCUGUGCUCAGGCAUACAGCAAGAGGCUAUUACAGUAUCAUGGGGAGACCACGCUGCCCAACCAGGACCUCAGCCCCCAUCGGCUCUUCUUCCUAAGCUAUGCCCAGGUAGGCAGCUGCCCACUCCUUCCACAGCUUGCUUCUUCUCAGAGAAGAAUCCCAUGACUAAUGCUCCAAGGAAUUUCCUCCCUGAUACACACUCCCUAAAGACUCCCUCCAUCACUCAACCGCUGCCACAGAUGCCCCUACUGUCCUCUUAGCUAUCCCCUUAGAAUCAUCCUGCAGGUUAUUGCUAAUUCUUUGACCAAAUUCAAAAUCCCCCCCCCCCCCCCGCCUGCCGCAGCCAAAAAAAGAGCUACUAGUUCCUUCUGUGAGGUGGGUGGAGUUUUCUUCUGUCAUGCCCU